GCCAUCACCAAGUACCUUAUCAAAUUGGUCAAUGUAUAGAUUACUUGAAUUAUCAUCAGUUAACUGCCUAUUUGUAAUUGAUACCAUUAAAUAUUUAUACCCACAAUUGAAUUCAAGUUGUCGUGAUCACUGUAAAAUAAAUAAACUGCAAGACUUCCACAAACAAUUUUCAGCUAUAAACUCAAUUCAUAGUUGUAAAAAUUUUGAAAAUAUUAAAGAACAUGAUUUUAAUUGGUUUAUUAAAUUAUAUUCCAAGUAAGUUUCCUAUUUUUUUAAAACUUUUCUUGUACUUUUUAACAUUCAUUUAUCAAUGCUGGCUUGAAUAUAAUUUCUUUUGUGUUAUUGUGCACAUGAACAUGUUGGUACUCAUUUCCGAAAUGGAAAUAAGUACCAACACUUGAACAACUGUGAAGAUCUCUUCACAAGAAAUCAUUGGUAACCUUGUUAACCAACAAAUAAACAGUAUAUAUAUAUAUAUAUUUUAAAGGUUGUCUGUUAUGGCCAUUGGUUUUGCACUUAGCUGUAUAGGCAACUCAUCAGAUGUACUUUCAACCAUUUGGGUCUGACAAGUCACCUAUACAGUUAAGCUAAACGAAUGGUCUCUCUCUGACUGCAUUUAACAAACAACCUACUAAAUAUACUACUGCUCUAAUGUGUUAGAGUGUGCUUCCUUUUUGGAUAUAUGAACUACUGACGCGCGCGCACACACACACACACUCAUAGGUGCGGAUAUGACUCUGGUUAGGAAGUCUUGAUAUCCCAAGCAUAUAGCUUUGGAUUCAGUCCCACUGCAUGGCAUUUUGAACAAGUGUCUUCUGCUAUACCCCAAUGCCAAAGAAAGUCAUGUGAGUAGAUUUGGUUGAGAGAAACUAAAUGAGGCCUGUUGUAUAUGUAUGCAUAUAUGUGUGUGUGUGUGUGUGUGUUUCUGUCUACUUGUCUUGACAUCAUGUGAUAGUUGUAAAACAAGCAUCAUUAUCAACGAAAUGGUGUUGUUUGUUUUCCAGUCUUCCAUGGAAACCCGUUUGGCCAUGAGGAAAUAUUAACCUUGCUUGAAAACAUAUGAAGGUUGGUAACAGGAAAUGCAUCCAAUCAUAGAAAAUCUGGUUUGACAAAUUCUGUCUGACCCAUGCAUACAUGAAAAAGUGAACAUUACAACAAUGGGGAUAUAUAAAUGCAACUCCAGCUCACAAGAUAUUCUAAUCCCAGUUAGACAUAUAUUUGGAGCUUAGAUAAAUGCACAAAUUGCAGCAUUCACAUUCCAUUGAACUUUCUAUACACAUACCUACAUAAGGUAAUAUAAUGGAUAGUAAAAAUAUCAAUUAAAUUUGAAGUCAAUCUUAAUCAUAAAUAUUUGAUCAGAGAAUUUAUGCUAAAAUCAGAAGAAAUAUCUAUCUAGUGCAGGUAAAAUUCCCGAGAUCCAUGAACAAGUUCUCUCCAGCAGUCUAUGUUCCUCAUCAUCACUGCCUUGUCCUGUGUCUCCCAGAGACCAGUAUCUAUCCUUAGGGCAUUACGUAAGUCAUCCUCGGGCUUCCUCUUCUAGUGUGUCCAUGUAGGGGCUCCCACAGAAGCACUGAGUGCAGUACCAACUCUGAAUGAUGGUGAGCAUGUCCAGCUAACCUCAGUCUCCUCUAUGUUAUUUUCGAGCUAACUAUUGGAAGGUUCUUGUACAGCGCUGAGUUCUUCAUCCUCAGUAUAUGCUGAUUAAUGUUUGUGCUUUCAAUUCCUAGACCAAGAGGUAUAUUGUGUUCUUGAACAAAACACAUCUCACAUUGCUCUGCGAUCACUUUAACACCUGAUGUGUGGUACAUUGUGCACCUGUUUAGGCAACAUCGGUUUUAUGGAGGAAGUGAGCUAAUAUACAGCUCAUACAUUUGAUCACAAUAAACAAAUCAUUUGUGCAGGUUGUUCAGCAAGAAACAGCAGAAUGGUCUUUUUUUGAAGUACAAGAGACUACCAUCAUCAGCAUACAUCUUAGUCACUAACACCAUUUGAGCGUGGCUGCUGCCAGUACCACGUGACUGGCCCUCGUGCCGGUGGCAUUAAAAGCACCCACUACACUCUCGGAGUGGUUGGCGUUAGGAAGGGCAUCCAGCUGUAGAAACUCUGCCAGAUCAAGACUGGAGCCUGGUGCAGCCAUCUGGUUUGCCAGUCCUCAAUCAAAUCGUCCAACCCAUGCCAGCAUGGAAAGCAGACGUUAAACGAUGAUGAUCAAAUGUAUGAGCUGUAUGUUAGCUCACUUCCUCCAUCAAACCAAUGUUGCUUGAACAGGUGCACAGUAUACCACACAUCAGGUGUUGAAGUGAUCACAGAGCAAUGUGAGAUAAAUGUUUUGUUCAAGAAAACAAUGCACCACCUUGUCCAGGAAUUGAAACCACAAUCCUGCAAUCAUGAGUGCAACACCCUGAACACUAGGCCAUGUACCCUCACCAAGAAUAGAAUGUAUAAGCUAAAAGAAACCCAUCUGAAAGGGCAAGUUUCAGAUAUUUUAAGAAAUAUUUUUUCAUGUGAAGUAAUUUACUCAUAACCACUCUUCUAAUAAUUAUUUGCUUGUAUUUUUCAAAAGUUUCUACAGACUAAUGACUUCUUUUUUUUUUCUUUUCAUACAGGGUCAAUUCUUCAGAGAUAUGUAGCAGCCCCUCAAAGGGUGAUAUUUUCCAGUUAUGCCAAAAAACUAACGAAGAUUUCAGAAUACUGUUGAAGCAGUUAGUUGAACAAUAUUCUUGUCUGCGCUUAGAACAAAAAUUUGAUGUAAAAAAACGGUUAGCUUUAUUAAAAUUAUUCCACCAGAAUAUGCUUGAGCUUCAAAGCAAUGCAGAAUUCAAUAUAGAUAAAGAGAUGAAGUCUCCUUUUACUUGGUCAGACAUAGAGCCAUUGAACCAAAAUUGUUCUGAAUCUAAUUCAAAGACACUUCAUCCAGUUAGUACAACAAAAGGAAUAAUUUUAAACUUGCAAGAUAAUGUUACACAGAAAUGUUUAGAUGCUCAACAACUAUUAAACAAUACAUCACCUAGUUCAUCAUAUAUUCAAAUUGCAACACAGAAUGCUCCAGUGGAUACACUAAAUAAACACUCAGAAAGUGGAGAUAAUAUGAUAGUUCAAAAAAUAUCUAUUAAUAAACCAAAUAAAAUUAUCCAGAGAGAGAUUGACAGAUUUGUUUCUAAGGUGUGUAGAAAGAAUAAAUUAUUGCUUCUUGAGAUAAAUGAGAACUCAACUAUACGAUAAAAGCAUAAAUCUUGCUACACCUUUAACUCAUGAAGAUGUAUAUCAUAUUAAUUCUGAAAAGAAGGAAGUUGCUUUGUCAAGAUCAAAAAAAAAAAGACAGAUUCAAAUUGAAAAAAAUUCUAAAAUUCUUGCUGAAAAGAUUCAAAGAUAAAAUUAUGGAAAAAAAGCAUAAACAAGUACAAAUGUAAACAAUUGCAUAAAAGAACUCAACCUUGUAAAAUGCUUGUUUUUAAAACAAAAACCCAAUACCUCUGAUUUCCUCUUAAAUUUUAUUUUUUUCCAAUUUUAUCUAGUGAUUUAAUUUGUUACUUUCAUUUUGGUGCAAGUUCAAUUUUUUUAUAGAGGAGAGACAGUCAAACAAGUCUACUACCUUACUGUUGCCUUGUUACUAUCCUAGAGACACUGAGUUUAUAUACUAUAAAAAAUCAGGGAUAACCCAUUGACGUUUGUAUUAAUGCCACUUUUAUGGAUAUUUUUUUUUUAAUAUAUCUUGUUCUUGUUGCUAUAUUCUCUCAGUAAAUUUCUAUAUUUUUCAUUCUUAUUUAUGAACAAUAAAGUCUAGAUCCCG
rnacentral:lncRNA from 1 species